rnacentral:lncRNA from 1 species
CGGCUGUUCAAGAAGAGUGUGGUGACCGAGGCUGAGGUAACUGCACGGUCUCCUGUUUUCCCUGGCCACACCCAGCACACCCCACCUUGGAAACCUUCUGGGGUUCCCCCGGGCCUCAUGGGGUGUGGCAGUUCCUCAGUAGGGCUCUCUAAGCCCUUCCAUGCACCCCCCUUCCCCAGGGGGCCACUGCUUUCCUCUCCCAGUCACCACCUGGCUGGUGGGGCCCUCCCUCCUGAGACACCAGGUGCUUCUGGCUUUAGUCAGGCCCAUCUGCUUUCCGGGCUGGAGGAAUCCUCUGGCCUUGGGCUCUGGGAGGCUUUGCACACCACCUGCCCUGUGGGAUCCGUGCCCAGCUCAGAUCUGGGGGCGAGUGGAGCAGUAGGUGGAGGAUGGACCUCCUCUGAGCCCUGGCCUCGGUUCCAGGUCAAGGUGUACAUCCAGCAGCUGGCAGAAGGGCUGCAUUAUCUGCACGGCCAGAGCAUUCUCCAUUUGGACAUAAAGGUGCUUGACCUUCUUGGGGCCCCGCAGGGACCAGGGAGGGACCCUGAACAUGGGGGGGGCGGGUAGAUGCAAGUCUAGCACUUCCAGACUCUCUGGGGAUGCAGAGUGAUAUCAGGUGGGGUACAGCUCGGAUGAACUGGAAGCUGUCCCCAAAUAGCACUAAAACCUACCCCAAGACUGCCCACUGUCCCACCAGCAUCACCGUUGCCUUGGGAAAGCCCUUCACAGACCCCUGUGUGUUCCCUGCGGCCCUGGGAGCCCCCUCCUUAGGGCAUGGCCUCCCCUCUCCCUGACUGUGUCUCACAGCCCCCAAAUAUCCUGAUGGUGCAUCCCGCUCGGGAGGACAUUAAAAUCUGCGACUUCGGCUUUGCCCAAAAAAUCACCCCAGUAGAGCCACAAUACAGCAAGUAUGGCUCCCCAGAGUUUGUAUCCCCUGAGAUCAUUGAGCAGACUCCUGUGAGCGAGGCCUCGGACAUCUGGUAAGUGAGUGGCCACUGGGGAUGCCAGCAGCCCCGCCCCACACACAGUCGCUGCCCCUCCUCCCACACCCCCCAACUCUGAGCAUACCCUUUGCCUGAAGCCCAGGCAUGGGAUGACUCAAGACUGUGCUUUUGCUCCUGCAGGGCCAUGGGGGUCAUCUCCUAUCUCAGGUAAGCAGACACCUGCCUCUGUCAACCACCCCCUCUGAAACCAAGCGCCGAUCCCUUCCCCAUCAGACCCAUGACAAGCCACGUGCACUACUGGCUGCUUCCCAGAUCAAAGACCCAAGACCCACAGGGCAGCUAUUAUGGGAACCAGCGGUCAGCCAACUCUGAUAAGUGGUUUCUGCUGCACUCUUUUCUUACACACUGUGGCCCAGAGGAGCUUGGCCGGGUCACCAGGCAAAGCACUGAGCUGUUUCCCUAAAGGGUCUGCCCAGAGCCUCCUCAUUACAGUUACAGCUGCCCUCGAGGAGGCUGCUGGUGUAGACUGAGCCUGGAUCCCACCUCACGCUAAGGCUGGGUACAUACUCCAGGUUGACCCUUGAUCCCUGUCCCAGGCUGAGCAUGGAUCUCUGGGCAAAUAUUGGCCAUUUCUGGGACUCUCAGGGCUGGAUGGGAGUGGCUCUGUGGCCACUGGGGGCCUUGUAAAAGACCCAGCACUGUUUGCUCUGGCCACCUGCUCCCUAUGCAUCCAGAAAUCCAGGUCACUUCUGAAGGCAAAGUCAUGUCUCUGCUUUCAGCCUGACCUGCUCAUCACCAUUUGCCGGUGAGAGUGACCGAGCCACCCUCCUGAAUGUGCUGGAGGGGCGGGUGUCUUGGAGCAGCCCCAUGGCUGCCCACCUCAGCGAGGAUGCC